UGCGCUCGCUGCGAUCGUGCCCGUUUCCAGGUGCCAUAAGCCAGACUCGCGCAGUCCUGGGAGACUGAGACUUGGGAGACAGUGCAGAAACCCAAGGCAAGUGCUGCUCGGCUGAGGAAGAAAGCCAAGAAGGAAAGCAAA